rnacentral:tRNA from 1 species
GCCUGGGUGGUUUAGUCGGUUGAGCAUCUGACUUCGCCGCAGGUCAUCAUUUCACAAUUUGUGAGUUCGAGUCCCACAUCGGGCU